UACAGAGGGUGCGAGCGUUACUCGGAAUUACUGGGCGUAAAGCGUGCGUAGACGGUUACGUAAGUCGGGUGUGAAAGCCCCGGGCUCAACCUGGGAAUUGCAUUCGAGACUGCGUAGCUAGGGUGCGGAAGAGGGAAGCGGAAUUUCCGGUGUAGCGGUGAAAUGCGUAGAUAUCGGAAGGAACAUCAGUGGCGAAAGCGGCUUCCUGGACCAAUACUGACGCUCAUGUGCGAAAGCGUGGGGAGCAAACAGG
rnacentral:rRNA from 1 species